rnacentral:rRNA from 1 species
UACAGAGGGUGCGAGCGUUAAUCGGAAUUACUGGGCGUAAAGGGCGUGUAGGCGGUUAGUUAAGUCUGGCGUGAAAGCUCUCGGCUAAACCGGGAGAGGUCGUUGGAUACUGGCUGACUAGAGGACGGUAGAGGCGUGUGGAAUUCCGGGGUGUAGUGGUGAAAUGCGUAGAGAUCCGGAGGAACACCAGUGGCGAAGGCGACACGCUGGGCCGUACCUGACGCUAAAGCGCGACAGCAUGGGGAGCAAACGGG